ACAAUUUGAAACUAUGCCGUAUUGAGCUUGCCGUUGGGCUGUUUUAUUGUGAUAUGCUUUAUACACAAGAGGCCUUGUUUCAAUCCACGGAGACACAUCUGGCACAGGAGACAACACCAGACUGUCUUUUUAACAAUGCCAUGGCGUUUUGGCCAUUGUUGGUUUCUCUACUAACUAAGGAAGUAUUCGGAAGCUCGGCGCUUGCUGCGUCCCAGGAUCAAACUGUACAGACUGUGUGGCUCGGGGCUAUUGUGAUGCUUCGAGCGCGCCGAGCCGCCCAGACCCCUCUGCAUCACUAGAUGGCCGUGGCUCGGCUGGCAGUUGCUGAGCGUGGCAGCAAGCAUUUCGGUGGCAUCAGUGGAGCCGCGCAGGCGCUACCUACACAUGUCGAGCAGACGAUACCUUUACGUGCCGAGCAGACGAUAAGUUGCACGUGCACACGGAUCAUACCUUUCGUGUGGAUUACGGAGAUGGAGGUGGGAGUGUUAUUGGAAGAACCGUGGAUUUUAUCCGAGUUCUUUGACGUGGAUUGGAAACUUUCCUUUAAUCUUAAAGUUGUGUGUGUGUUGCUUGUGUGACGUGCUUGAAGACGUGAGCUGACUGUUUCUCAUCAUCUUGUGCCUUAGCAAAUGACAUCCGCGUUUCCAGUACUGUUUUGCUGGUUUGGGCAACGACAGUGGUCACGUUGGCAAUCUUUGAAACAAAUGGAAUAUAAGUUGGUACGGGUUUGAUACAGGAGAACAAGUAGAGACUGCACCAUUUCGCACCUGUCAGUUUGCUGACGUCCAAAAACAGCCUUAAUCGGGACGUUUAAAAACAGAAAAGGAUAUCAUAGUGGAAGUUGAUUGGAAACCUAAUAGACCCAACUUAGGGAUGUUCAGGUGAAACAUCUUAAUGUGAGGCGUGCGGACGAAACAUCGCAAUGAAGACUUCAACGAACUAUAUGUCGUCAUUAACUCUCCAUCUGGUAAUCACUACCCGUCUACGUCGUUAUCGGCGACGUUGCCACAAACGUCUUCCACAACAUCUGGAAGGCCACAAGUCAUCAACAAUCACCAUCACAACAAUGCAACCAUAUGCAUCAACAAUGGUGAAACAACAUCAAAGAAGACGCAAAUUUUCACAUCAACUGACCACCAACCGUAAUGGCAGCCCUCUGGUCAUUUGCACUAAUGAUGCAAACAUCAAACGCCCACGUGACCACACCCGGAAGUGGCUACUAAAAUUUGACCAGAAACUUAAAGGCGGACAUGUCGCAAGAAGGCGUAAUACCUCUGUUCCUUGGGAUUGAUCGCCAUCAGGCUAUGUAUUUCCCGAGGACGUCCAUGAUAAUUGGUGCAGGUCUAGCGGUAAUAUUAGGGGUCAGCCUAAGUUACUUGAGAGGGACUGAAGCGUAUGGCAUUACUGGAAUACUUGCACGGGAGACGUGGUUACAGAUACAGCACAGAUACGGAUACAGAAACAGCGAAACUGGAUAAUUCACGUACAGAUGUCAGUCGUGCUUAUCUGAAUCAAGGAAGAUGCCUGUGUGUGGAUGUAGGAUCAGCUCACGUGGAUUUAACCUGCAUGAGAUAACAACGAUGUGCCUAUGCCAAUCAACAAUCGGAUUAAAGUGAAAUCGACAAGGAUGCUGGAUUUCUGACCUCGAAUGUGUGCAAUUGUGCAAUAUCAUAGUUUGUCUUGUGUGACAGGACAGCGAAACUAAAACGUAAAUGGUGAAGAAAUUCAGAUGGAUAAUGAUUAUAAUUAUUAUUUGGAUUUCCAUAAAUGUGUUUAAGAGAAACCGAAAUUCGUCGACGUGGUGGUGUGGAAAGACGUCCAUGUGAAGUUCCUGAAUGUGGUACGUGAGUGUCUGAUCCAGGUCGGUUUGCUGUGACACAUGUCACAUAUAUCUGUCACGGAUAUCUGUGGUUGUGGCAUCAUGUGACCAGAUGUGAUUCAAUUCAAUUCAAUCAUUAGGAAUAAGGAAACCGUCCAUGUUGUUGAAAUGUUGGUCACAGACCUGUGAAGUAGCGUACGUCGACAACAAAAGACAACAUUUUAUGGACAGAAGACUACAUUUUAUGCACAGAAGACUAUAUUUUAUGGACAGAUGACUACAUUUUAUGGACAGAGGACUACAUUUUAUGGACAGAAGACUACAUUUUAUGGACAGAAGACUAAACUCUAUGGAUAACUGAGUAUCUCAUGUGAGUGAAGACGACGUGAAAUGAAUGAAAGCGCGCCUGAGAAGACGCACUGGGUUUGAGAUGGAUUUGAGUAUGCCAUGUGGAUUUUCAUCAGGAGCUAAAGGUGCGAGAUAUCCCACUUUGGGGGAACCCCAGGGUGAACAUGUUGCAUGAAAUAUACUUAACAAUAUUGGGGAGCAGAGCACCCAAUAACAUGGAUUAGACCUUUCUACAUGUAAAUUUGAAAUGAAUAUGUUACUACACCUGAUGGAUGUGACAUGGAUGGGAUACUACACCAGAUGGAUGUGAAUAGGAUGGAAUAUUACACCAGAUGGAUGGGAUAUUACACCAGAUGGAUGUGAAAUGGACGGGAUAUUACACCAGAUGGAUGUGAAAUGGAUGGAAUAUGACACCACAUGGAUGUGAAAUGGAUGUGAUAUUACACCAGAUGGUUGUGAAAUGGAUGGGAUAUUAUCCAGAUGGAUGUGAAAUGGAUGGGAUAUUAUCCAGAUGGAUGUGAAAUGGAUGGAAUAUUACACCAGAUGGAUGUGAAAUGGAUGGAAUAUUACACCACAUGGAUGUGAAAUGGAUGGAAUAUUACACCACAUGGAUGUGAAAUGGAUUGAAUAUUACACCACAUGGAUGUGAAAUGGAUGGGAUAUUACACCAGAUGGUUGUGAAAUGGAUGGGAUAUUACACCAGAUGGUUGUGAAAUGGAUGGGAUAUUACACCAGAUGGAUGUGAAAUGGAUGUGAAAUUACACCAGAUGGAUGUAAAUAGGAUGGAAUAUUACACCAGAUGGAUGUGAAAUGGGUGGAAUAUUACACCACAUGUAUGUGAAAUGGAUGGGAUCUUACACCAGAUGGUUGUGAAUAGGAUUGAAUAUUACACCAGAUGGAUGUGAAAUGGAUGGGAUGUUACACCAGACGGAUGUGAAAUGGAUGGGAUAUUACACCAGAUGGAUGCGAAAUAGAUGGGAUAUUACACCAGGUGGAUGCGAAAUGGAUGGGAUAUUACACCAAGUGGAUGUGAAUAGGAUGGAAUAUUACACUAGAUGGAUGUGAAAUAGAUGGGAUAUUACACCAGAUGGAUGCGAAAUGGAUGGGAUAUUACACCAAGUGGAUGUGAAUAGGAUGGAAUAUUACACUAGAUGGAUGUGAAUAGGAUGGGAUAUCACACCAGGUGGCUGUGAAAUGGAUGGGAUGUUAUCCAGAUUGAUGUGCUGGAUGGAAUAUUACACCAAAUGGAUGUGAAAUGGGUGGAAUAUUACACCAGAUGGAUGUGAAAUGGAUAGAAUAUGACACCAGGUGGAUGUGAAAUGGAUGAGAUAUCACACCAGAUGGAUGUGAAAUGGAUGGAAUAUUACAUCGGAUGGAUAAGAAAUUCCUGGGACAUUUAAUCAGAUGUGAAGUUGUUUGUCAAGGAUCAAAGAAUAUUUCUUUUAGAAAAUUCAUUAUCAUGGAUAGGAAAGUACCCCAGAUGGAUUAAAGAUGGAUUAGAGAGUGCCUCAAAUGGAGAGUACAUGGUGUGGAUUCUUGUGGUUCCAGCCUUGUGGAUGGUGUAUUCGCGAUGGAUCACUGCGGAGGCAGUCGGGGAUUCAGUGGAUGGAUGUACGACACUUUGAGUGAUUCUCAGCGUGACCUCUCACUGGGGUCACCACAGCGCCGAGCGUCAGGUUGUUUACCUGUCUGAUCAAUCAGCUGGACGCGGGAACGAUUACAGAAUGGAUUACUUUUAUAAUAAUAAAGGAUUUUCCACAAAGAUGGAAACGGCGAUGACGUCAUGUCGACACCGCACUCAAACACAGCCCCUCUGGUGCUCGUCCUUGAGUUACUCUUAUAACGAGGUCGCCGUACAGCGAGGGAACCAUAAGUAAUGCUUCUCUACAAACGAUAUGCCGUGGUCCUAUUUCGUAACCGAAAACCUGCACCUAUUAAACAGCCAAGCGAGACGAAAGUGAGGUUGCUUAGCCACCGCGCAGCGACCUCUACUGGGCGGGAAGAGCAGGUAAUUACCACAGGAAGACAUGAAUGCGCAUGCUCAAUGGAAAUUAGGGGUUAAUUGAGGGGUCACUGCGUGUGUUAGGUGAGUUCGACUCAUAUUUGAAUUUUACAAGGCUCCAAUCAUGAUCAUGAAUGGGCCCCUUUGUACCAGUCUAUACGAAGAGCCAAGGCAAUUCUGUUCGCUAGCUUGAGUGAUUACUGCUAAUAUGAAACUAAAUAACGCAAUAUUUAGAAAAGAUGGCGCUGUGUAUCAGGGGAUUUACUCCCAGAUUCGACAGAGCCACGGUGCAAACUAUUUAACAAGGUCUCUGAGCAGAAUUGAUAAUCCUGUAUCAAAUAUUCUAUGCAGCUUGACACUUUUAUGCUCGAAUGAACUACAAAUCAUUUAGUGGAUUAUAUCGUCCUUGUUUGAUUGAUUGACAUCGAGAGUGGUAGAUUGCAAUAAAUUUCACAUCUUUGAUUUCAUGGCAAAUGAAAUUUGUUGAUUUAUUUUGACGAGGGUAAAGCACAGGACUGAAAAGUCUAUUGUGAUUCCGAACCUUUAAUAACUGUUCGCUAUAAUUAUUUGAUGCUAAUUUUCGCGUCUACUAUUGUCAAAUGUGUGUGAUGUUUGGUUGCAAUCUAUCAUUGUAUAUUUCUCAUCACAACGAUUGUAUGUCAAGAAGAGCAUCAAAGCAUCUACCAUCACCUCGUUAAUUAUCUUAUCUUUUAUGUAUGUAGAGCUUAUCGUGAUGUUAUUAAAAUUCCAGUAGCACCGUAAUCAUACGAUUAAAGUAUUAAUUUACAACGCAAUUGGUAUCAAUAGUUCUCUUCAUUCCAAGAACUGAAAAAAGAAAUUCAAAUAGAAAACGUAUUGGUCAUCAGUCGAAGUCGCUAAACGGCAUUUUCUCUUGUUCUAGAUGACGCGUAUUGUCUCCAUUGACGUAGCAUGCUGGAAUGUUUGUAUUGCUGUUAAAUGUUUUAGCGUACAGUGUUGUAUGGCUUGUAAUAAAUCAGAUAUCAUUUGUAUUA